CUGAUUCUGAAAAUAGAAGUAAAACCAGGACUGGGAGAUAAUAUAUGUUUCCCUAAUUUUUCUCCUUCUUGAUCUUUAUAGCACUGAAGUGGAAAAAAAAAUGACAACUGAUAGUGCCUUUGAAUGAGACUCCCAAGAGUUGACUCACUGAAUCCUUCAGGACAGAGUCAAAGGCAAGCAAGCCUUCUGCACCACUUUCUGUUGCAUGACAAAUUAUUACCUACACAUACGUAAUAAAUGCCAAGAAAAGUCCAGUAUCUCAAGAUCUGAAACAAAGUACAGCUACAAUUGCUUUGUGAAGGAUGGACUUAAAGAAAAAAAAAAACAAUAUAGAAGAAAGCCAUUAAUUCCAGGAUGAACAUGUGACUACUUAGAAAAGGAGAUUGGUGAGUGGUUCUAAGAACUGAUAUUCUGGAGGAAGUGAGGAGCCUCAGGAUUCCUCAUCACGGGAAACUCCCUUCCCUCUUGACUAAUACAUCUGCUAUGUGAGCCUGCCACAGUCAUAAAAGAUGUUAGUGUCAACAGAAAAGAAAUGCAUAUUUUGUGCAUUUUGCCUUUACAUAGAAGAGGGGUUUAUUUUUAAUUAAGUGAUAUUUAAUCCUCUCUUAAGAGGCAUUUAUAGCGGCUUACAUGUAGGGGGUGAUUUCUAACUGGUUCCUUUCUACCUUUGGG
rnacentral:lncRNA from 1 species